rnacentral:rRNA from 1 species
CCUACGGGCGGCAGCAGUGAGGAAUAUUGGUCAAUGGCCGGAAGGCUGAACCAGCCAUGCCGCGUGAAGGUCAGUGCCCUAUGGGCGUUAAACUUCUUUUGUGCGGGAGCAAUAAUGGUCACGUGUGGCCAGACGAGAGUACCGUACGAAUAAGCAUCGGCUAACUCCGUGCCAGCAGCCGCGGUAAUACGGGGGAUGCAAGCGUUAUCCGGAUUUAUUGGGUUUAAAGGGUGCGUAGGCUGUGAGGUAAGUCAGCGGUGAAAUGCCCCCGCUCAACGGGGUGAAGUGCAAUGGAUACUGCCGUGCUGGAAUGCGGAUGCCGUGGGAGGAAUGUGUGGUGUAGCGGUGAAAUGCAUAGAUAUCACACAGAACACCGAUUGCGAAGGCAUCUCACGAAUCCGCGAUUGACGCUGAUGCAUGAAAGCGUGGGUAUCAAACAGGAUUAGAUACCCGAGUAGUC